GCUAGUGUAGCUUAUGCAAAGCGUAACACUGAAAAUGUUAAGACGAGUCCCAAUAAGACUCCACAGGCA
rnacentral:tRNA from 1 species